AUGAACGCUGGCGGCGUGCCUAAUCCAUGCAAGUCGAGCGAACAGACGAGGAGCUUGCUCCUCUGACGUUAGCGGCGGACGGGUGAGUAACACGUGGAUAACCUACCUAUAAGACUGGGAUAACUUCGGGAAACCGGAGCUAAUACCGGAUAAUAUAUUGAACCGCAUGGUUCAAUAGUGAAAGACGGUUUUGCUGUCACUUAUAGAUGGAUCCGCGCCGCAUUAGCUAGUUGGUAAGGUAACGGCUUACCAAGGCAACGAUGCGUAGCCGACCUGAGAGGGUGAUCGGCCACACUGGAACUGAGACACGGUCCAGACUCCUACGGGAGGCAGCAGUAGGGAAUCUUCCGCAAUGGGCGAAAGCCUGACGGAGCGACGCCGCGUGAGUGAUGAAGGUCUUCGGAUCGUAAAACUCUGUUAUUAGGGAAGAACAAAUGUGUAAGUAACUAUGCACGUCUUGACGGUACCUAAUCAGAAAGCCACGGCUAACUACGUG
rnacentral:rRNA from 1 species